GGUGAGUUGCUGAGUAUUGAUCUGAUCUCCUUGCAUGACCGUUAUGGAUGUAGUAGCAGCUAGAAGCUAGCCACUGUGCUGUGGAAACACUUGUGUUAACAUGAACAAGAAUGUCCCUGUCCCCCUUUGUUCAGUAUAAGCAUCAAGCAAGCCUAUUUUGUGGACAGAUAAUGCUCCUUUCGUGAAAGAUGGUACCAUGCUACAUUGUUUCUGGUUUGUCUGCUGUAGCGUAUACAUUGAUUAAUACAUUUGCCAAAUGUUCACGUGAUAAAGCUGUGUAGUACCAACCAUGCACCGGUUUUGUUCAGUCUACUGUUUUUGUGGUCUGUAAUGUCGAUGUCACACAUGACACUUUCUAUAGCUUUUCCGCAACCGAAGGAACUCCUGAUGUUUCAUUCUCAAUCAUCAUUCAAAACAAUACCUUGCAUGCUCAUCUGUUCACUGCUUACUUGUGACAACCGAUCAUAGAGUAGACAGUUUAUAGACAAUCAUGCAUGGUUACGUUGUGCAAUGAGCUAUAGAUAUCUUGUAGCCUGAGUGUUCUCUUGCCUGUGCCACCUGAUGAUGUCAUGCAGGCACCAAGCCAAGCUCCAGCACAACCUCAUGUACCUGGCGGCCAUCGCAGACAGCCAGCCACCACAGACGGCACCGCUGUCACAGGUACUGAUGCUAGUGCUGCUCCUCGGCCUGGCCCUAACACCCAAGCAUUUUCGUUAGUGAAAUCAAAGAUUGCAUCGCUCUCACUUGGUACAUCUGCGAUCUGCAGUACCCGUCCAACCUGAUGAUGCAGCCGGGCCCUCGGUACAUGCCGCCGCAGUCGGGGCAGAUGAUGAGCCCGCAGUCGCUGAUGGCGGCGCGGUCCUCCAUGAUGUACGGG
rnacentral:lncRNA from 1 species